UACGGAGGGAGCUAGCGUUGUUCGGAAUUACUGGGCGUAAAGCGCACGUAGGCGGCGAUUCAAGUCAGAGGUGAAAGCCCGGGGCUCAACUCCGGAACUGCCUUUGAAACUAGAUUGCUAGAAUCUUGGAGAGGCGAGUGGAAUUCCGAGUGUAGAGGUGAAAUUCGUAGAUAUUCGGAAGAACACCAGUGGCGAAGGCGGCUCACUGGGACUGGUAUUGACGCUGAGGUGCGAAAGCGUGGGGGAGCAAACAGG
rnacentral:rRNA from 1 species